rnacentral:rRNA from 1 species
AGGGUGACAGGUGGUGCAGUGGUUGUCGUCAGCUCGUGUCGUGAGAUGUUGGGUUAAGUCCCGCAACGAGCGCAACCCUCGCCUUUAGUUGCCAGCAUUCAGUUGGGCACUCUAGAGGGACUGCCGGUGUCAAACCGGAGGAAGUGGGAUGACGUCAAGUCCUCAUGGCCUUUAUGUCUAGGGCUACACACGUACUACAAUGGCCGGUACAAAGGGCAGCCACUCAGCGAUAAGGCGCUAAUCCCAUAAAGCCGGUCUCAGUCCGGAUCGCAGUCUGCAACUCGACUGCGUGAAGUUGGAAUCGCUAGUAAUCGUAGAUCAGCAUGCUACGGUGAAUACGUUCCCGGGCCUU